rnacentral:rRNA from 1 species
GUGGGUUUGUAAGUCGGGCGUGAAAUCCCUCGGCUUAACCGAGGAACUGCGUCCGAAACUGCAUGGCUUGAGGACGGAAGGGGAAGGUGGAAUUCCUGGCGGAGCGGUGAAAUGCGUAGAUAUCAGGAGGAACGCCGGUGGCGAAGGCGGCCUUCUGGUCCGUUUCUGACGCUGAGGUGCGAAAGCUAGGGGAGCAAACAGGAUUAGAUACCCUGGUAGUCCUAGCCGUAAACGAUGGGCACUAAGUAGAGGGG